UUCAAUGUUACGCAAUCCUCUAAGAGAAAACAAAGAUUCUUUAAUGGGAGUUCAACCUCCUAUACCACAUAGAUUCACAUCUGAAAGUUGUAAUUUCUGUUCCUCCAGUUAUGAUGCUGCCAGGCCUGCUGAGAUUCUCCAAAUUCUAUUGUCUUUCCAGUUACAUUUGCCUCAGCAGAUAGACGAAGCCUCUGUUUUAAAAGAUGACAACUGAGUAAAUCUGAUCUGGAAGCCAUUAGGGAGAAAAAACAAUUUACUGUGUGGAUUCUGUGCUCAGGUUCAUGAUGAAUUUCAAAUCCACAUCUCGCUUUGAGAGCACUGUCAAAUGAUGGGAACUGAUAGGACUCACGGCAGAAAAUCGGUCAGUAAUCAACUCAACGUAUCCAUGACCUGGAUUAAUGGAAUUUGCAGAAAGGUCAACUGAAGGCCUUGCUUUAAUCAUAUAUAUUGGCUUUACAUUCUGAAUGGGCCUCUAACACUAUUGGUAAAAGAAAUUUAAUUCUGGGAACUGGUCUUUUAAUGAGCAUUCAUGAGGUACAAGUACAUGCAAAGGGACUUCCUGACCUUGUCAUCGCAAGCUCAACCCACCUAUAAAUUUCGAAAAACAUCAGUGCAAAACAUCAUCCUGUUAUUGAGAUGUUGAAUUUUGACUUGCUGCCCAAUUACGUUUGCCUGUCUUGCUUCCCACUUUCAGAGAUUGCAUUAGAUUCUGCCCAUUGAAUCUGAGAUUAUAUACCUUGAUCUCCUUCUAUCCACAUGUGAAUUUGCCCCAUAAUUAGUGCAUCUUUCAACUUGAAAGUAUAAUCCCUAUGUCUUUCUCCAAGCCAUUAGCAUACUUAUUUAAAGCUGAGGCACCAAUAAAGAUCCCAGAGGUACAUCACUUGUGACAUCCUGCCAAUCACAGAACAAACUACUUAUCCUUACUGUCUGUCUUCUUCUUUCCAAGCAAUUACCAAUUUAUGACAUAAGCUUAUCUCCAGUUCUACAUCAGC